rnacentral:rRNA from 1 species
GUGGGGAAUCUUCCGCAAUGGACGAAAGUCUGACGGAGCGACGCCGCGUGAGUGAAGAAGGCCUUCGGGUCGUAAAGCUCUGUCAUCAGGGACGAACGGCCGGUGGAGUGGAAAGCCACCGGAUUGACGGUACCUGAGAAGGAAGCCACGGCUAACUACGUGCCAGCAGCCGCGGUAAUACGUAGGUGGCAAGCGUUGUCCGGAAUUAUUGGGCGUAAAGCGCGCGCAGGUGGGAUCUUAAGUCCAUUUUGAAAGUUCGGAGCUCAACUCCGUGAUGGGAUGGAAACUGGGAUUCUUGAGUACCGGAGAGGAAAGCGGAAUUCCCCGUGUAGCGGUGAAAUGCGUAGAUAUGGGGAGGAACACCAGUGGCGAAGGCGGCUUUCUGGACGGUGUCUGACGCUGAGGCGCGAAAGCUAGGGGAGCGAACGGGAUUAGAUACCCUAGUAGUCC